UUGCGAUUCAGAUCUAAGUUCAUAUCGCUUCGAUUUCGAUUCAAAUCUGAGUUCAUAUCACUUCGAUUUCGAUUCAGAUCGCGAUUCAGAUCUCAGCUAUUCAGAUCGGUAUCGGUGAUUCAUAUCUCAAAAUCGAAAUCGAAGUUCAUCUCAGCUAUUCAGAUCGAGAUUCAGCUCGGUGAUUCAGAGAUUCAGAUCAGUCUCAACGAUUCACAUCGGUUAUUCAUCAGAGUGAUUUCGAAGUUCUCUCUCGAAAUCGAAAUCGAAGUUAAUCUCAGCGAUUCCGAGAGUGCAUUCUUGCAUCUGAAGAGAACGAAGAAGCUAUUUUGUGGAGCCAUCAAAGCGAGGAAGAUAUUGUGUUGUUUUUGAUCCACUGGAUGGUUCCUCAAGCAUCGACUGUGGUGUUUCAGUUAGAACUGUAUGGCCCCUAUUGCUUUGGCCUUGAUAUUAUUAUUAUUAUU